rnacentral:lncRNA from 1 species
UCUCUUAUCAAUUAAUUGUACGGGUUGAUGUUCAAUAUCUACAUGAGAAAGAAGAAGAUGACAAAGCCUAAUCUUUCGAUGUGUCUCCUGUUCAAUAUUCCUUGCGGACUUUAGAAGGAAGGAAAUGUUAAGUUUCUUUCAAGGAACGACAUCAAUAAUUUCAUCUUGUCUUUUCUCAAGAAGAUACGAUAUCGUUCGGUGUCCCGAAGUUACGUCCCGAAAACUAUCUCAUGUGACAGUAGAUGAGGUUUACAUGCAUGGAUUGCGAUAGGGUCAUAUUACAUUCAUGAAAACUAUUUCUUGGGGCAACAUUUUGGUGCAUGGACUUCUCCAAGAGAAAAGUGGAUGCCAUCUUCUGGUCUCUCUCGCACCACUUGUGGGCUAUGUGUCUUUGCUUGUCGUGUGAGCUGCUUUUGUUAUGUGGCACACAAGGAAGCUGAUAUAGAGCUCACAGCUCAACUUUGGAUCUCUUUCCCUGCUUUUCUCAUUUCCAGGAUUAGGCCAGCAGCUGAUCUCCAUCCUCUUCUCAUUUAAUCCAACUUUUCAGCUCAGAAUCUAAACCGAUAUUUAGAACAGUCGAAGAAUAUAUUCUUCGGUGCAAAGAUGACAUCUAAAAUGAUUGAUCUUAGGUUGCAGCAAGUCUCAGUUUUGUUUCUUGCUGGCCGUAUAAUCAAUCUGAAAGAGGUGAUAUGACAGUUCAUGUGUUCCUGACAUUGUGGUGGUUCUGCAAAGAAAGGAUACGACAUAGGAGCGUCCAAGGAGUAAGCAUCGAUGCCAUUGAUGACACAGUGGCAUCUGCAGAGCAAACACAUCCAAUGGCAAUGCUCCACCUUUCAUCCCUGGAACUGGCAACUGUCCGUCUACAACUCGGCCACCACCUCACCCUCCUCUCUUUUCCAACUCCACCCACUUCUUUUGUGCUUGCCACGACGCUUCUUUUCCGAGUCCGGGAACAUAGCACAGGACCUGCGCAACCAGUCUCACCGCAGCCCACCUGAAACUAAUGUAUCCCAAGGAAACCUGACAAAGAACAGCCAUCCUCUUCUUUCUGCGUCGCUGUUGGAAACCACUUAGCUAAAACAAGCCUCGUGUGUAUGUCUCCAAAUGCAUUCACCAUUGCUCCUAUACAGAAGCUGAGAGAAGAGGAGAGAGAGAGAGAGAGAGGAGUCGAGUCAAAACAGGGUGCCGUAAAAGCGGGCGAGAAAGAGGAGGGUUUGGGAACGACACCUUCAGGUCUUGCAAUCGCAUCUUUCGCCCUUUCCCGAUCUUUUCUUUCUCUUGUUGAUGACGGCAGGUGGACCUCCUGGUUCCUCCGCAGCUCGCCACGUACCCCCGCGGCUGUGCCCG